AGAAGACCUCAGCUGAGUGCCGUCUUUGCAAGGUUGCUCUCAUGACCGUGACUCUGUGGUUCGUAGCAUGGACCCCCUACUUCGUCAUCAACUGGGGAGGCAUGUUCAACAAACCCAUUGUCACUCCUCUUUUCUCCAUCUGGGGCUCCGUCUUCGCCAAGGCCAACGCCGUCUACAACCCCAUCGUGUACGCCAUCAGCCACCCCAAGUACCGAGCUGCCCUUGAGAAGAAGCUGCCUUGCCUAUCCUGUGCUACUGAGGGCCGAGAUGGAGGUUCUGA
rnacentral:misc_RNA from 1 species